rnacentral:rRNA from 1 species
CGCGUAGGCGGUUUUUUAAGUCAGAUGUGUAAUCCCCGAGCUUAACUUGGGAACUGCACCUGAGACUGGAAGGCUAGAGUACUGGAGAGGGUGGUGGAAUUCCUCGUGUAGCGGUGAAAUGCGUAGAGAUGAGGAGGAACACCAGUGGCGAAGGCGGCCACCUGGACAGUAACUGACGCUGAGGCGCGAAAGUGUGGGUAGCAAACAGGAUUAGAUACCCUGGUAGUCCACGCUGUAAACGAUGAACACUUGGUGUGGAGGGAGUUGACCCCUUCCGUGCCGGAGCUAACGCGUUAAGUGUUCCGCCUGGGGAGUACGGUCGCAAGGCUAGAA